AUCCAGCUGACGAGUCCUAAAUAGGACGAAACGCGUAUCGUGGAU
rnacentral:hammerhead_ribozyme from 1 species